rnacentral:misc_RNA from 1 species
CAGAGUUGCAAAACUCCCAACCCUUUGUGAACCAACCUACCAGCUGCUCCGGCGGCGAAACUCUUUAUUUUAGUAUCUCUGAUUACUUAUUUAAUAAGUUA